rnacentral:rRNA from 1 species
CCUACGGGAGGCAGCAGUGGGGAAUAUUGGGCAAUGGAGGAAACUCUGACCCAGCGACGCCGCGUGCGGGAUGAAGGCCUUCGGGUUGUAAACCGCUUUCAGCAGGGAAGAAGCGAAAGUGACGGUACCUGCAGAAGAAGCACCGGCUAACUAUGCGCCAGCAGCCGCGGUAAUACAUAGGGUGCAAGCGUUGUCCGGAAUUAUUGGGCGUAAAGAGCUCGUAGGUGGUUCGUCACGUCGGAUGUGAAAAUCUGGGGCUUAACCCCAGACCUGCAUUCGAUACGGGCGAGCUUGAGUAUGGUAGGGGAGUCUGGAAUUCCUGGUGUAGCGGUGGAAUGCGCAGAUAUCAGGAGGAACACCAAUGGCGAAGGCAGGACUCUGGGCCAUUACUGACACUGAGGAGCGAAAGCGUGGGGAGCGAACAGGAUUAGAUACCCUGGUAGUCCACGCCGUAAACGGUGGGCACUAGUUGUGGGGACCUUCCACGGUCUCUGCGACGCAGCUAACGCAUUAAGUGCCCCGCCUGGGGAGUACGAUCGCAAGAUUAAAACUCAAAGGAAUUGACGG